rnacentral:lncRNA from 1 species
AGUGACUAUAUGACCGGCAGCCGGUCACGGUUUAUCAAAUACUAAAUGGCCGGCAGUCUAGUGACUAUAGUUGAAUAUAAAAACUUUUGUUUGCGUUAACUUUUACCGAGGUUGCCGUUAGCUCAUACGGCAAGGGCGCUGCGUGCGGAAAGUUAAGCGCAGUCGGGGUCGCGAAGUGUUUUGUCUCACUUAGCAUUGUUUUUUCUUAAAAUUUUUUAAGCUUUUUUUCCCGACUUUUCUAACUCUCAAAAGGUUAGGGUUAGGGGUUAG